rnacentral:rRNA from 1 species
CCUACGGGGGGCUGCAGUGGGGAAUAUUGGACAAUGGGCGAAAGCCUGAUCCAGCCAUGCCGCGUGAGUGAUGAAGGCCCUAGGGUUGUAAAGCUCUUUCAACGGUGAAGAUAAUGACGGUAACCGUAGAAGAAGCCCCGGCUAACUUCGUGCCAGCAGCCGCGGUAAUACGAAGGGGGCUAGCGUUGUUCGGAAUUACUGGGCGUAAAGCGCACGUAGGCGGAUUGUUAAGUUAGGGGUGAAAUCCCAGGGCUCAACCCUGGAACUGCCUUUAAUACUGGCAAUCUCGAGUCCGAGAGAGGUGAGUGGAAUUCCGAGUGUAGAGGUGAAAUUCGUAGAUAUUCGGAGGAACACCAGUGGCGAAGGCGGCUCACUGGCUCGGUACUGACGCUGAGGUGCGAAAGCGUGGGGAGCAAACAGGAUUAGAUACCCUUGUAGUC